GACGAACGCUGGCGGCGUGCUUAACACAUGCAAGUCGAACGGAAAGGCCCUGCUUUUGUGGGGUGCUCGAGUGGCGAACGGGUGAGUAACACGUGUGUAACCUGCCCUUGACUUUGGGAUAACUUCAGGAAACUGGGGCUAAUACCGGAUAGGAGCUCCUGCUGCAUGGUGGGGGUUGGAAAGUUUCGGCGGUUGGGGAUGGACUCGCGGCUUAUCAGCUUGUUGGUGGGGUAGUGGCUUACCAAGGCUUUGACGGGUAGCCGGCCUGAGAGGGUGACCGGCGACAUUGGGAAUGAGAUAAGGCGCAGACGCCUACGGGAGGCAGCAGUGGGGAAUAUUGCACAAUGGGCGGAAGCCUGAUGCAGCAACGCCGCGUGCGGGAUGACGGCCUUCGGGUUGUAAACCGCUUUCGCCUGUGACGAAGCGUGAGUGACGGUAAUGGGUAAAGAAGCACCGGCUAACUACGUG
rnacentral:rRNA from 1 species